rnacentral:rRNA from 1 species
GAGGCCUAACACAUGCAAGUCGGAGGUGAAGCUUUCUUCGGAAAGUGGAAACUGGCGCACGGGUGAGUAACGCGUGGGAACCUGCCCCGGGGUGGGGGAUAACCGCUGGAAACGGCGGCUAAUACCGCAUACGCCUUUCGAGGGAAAGAUUUAUCGCCCUGGGAUGAGCCCGCGUUGGAUUAGCUUGUUGGUGGGGUAAAAGCCUACCAAGGCGACGAUCCAUAGCUGGUCUGAGAGGAUGAUCAGCCACACUGGGACUGAGACACGGCCCAGACUCCUACGGGAGGCAGCAGUGGGGAAUAUUGGACAAUGGGCGCAAGCCUGAUCCAGCCAUGCCGCGUGAGUGAAGAAGGCCCUAGGGUUGUAAAGCUCUUUCACCCGCGAAGAUGAUGACGGUAGCGGGAGAAGAAGCCCCGGCUAACUCCGUGCCAGCAGCCGCGGUAAUACGGAGGGGGCAAGCGUUGUUCGGAAUUACUGGGCGUAAAGGGCGCGUAGGCGGAAUAUCAAGUCAGAGGUGAAAGGCCUGGGCUCAAUCUGGGAACUGCCUUUGAAACUGGUACUCUAGAGUUCGGAAGAGGAUGGCGGAAUUCCCAGUGUAGA